UAAGAAAGUAGCUUGUAAGCGGCUUAAUUUCGACUUAAGAUAUGGAAAAUUUAGUGA
rnacentral:tRNA from 1 species